rnacentral:rRNA from 1 species
UACGUAGGGGGCUAGCGUUGUCCGGAAUCAUUGGGCGUAAAGCGCGCGUAGGCGGCCCGGUAAGUCCGCUGUGAAAGUCCAGGGCUCAACCCUGGAAAGCCGGUGGAUACUGCCGGGCUAGAGUCCGGGAGAGGCGAGUGGAAUUCCUGGUGUAGGCGGUGGAAUGCGCAGAUAUCAGGAGGAACACCUAAGGCGAAGGCAGCUCGUGGAACGGUACUGACGCUGGAGGCGCGAAAGCGUGGGGAGCAAACAGG